GGGCCGCACGCGCGCUACACUGACCGAACCAGCGAGUUUAUUUCCUUGGCCGGAAGGCCUGGGUAAUCUUGUGAAAUUCGGUCGUGAUGGGGAUAGAGCAUUGCAAUUAUUGCUCUUCAACGAGGAAUACCUAGUAAGCGUGAGUCAUCAGCUCGCGUUGAAUUCGUCCCUGCCCUUUGUACACACCGCCCGUCGCUACUACCGAUUGAAUGGCUUAGUGAGGCCUUCGGAUUGGCUUCUGGGAGCCGGCAACGGCACCUAGUCGCUGAGAAGUUUGACGAACUUGGUCAUUUAGAGGAAGUAAAAGUCGUAACAAGGUUUCCGUAGGUGAACCUGCGGAAGGAUCAUUAAUGAAUUCUAGGACGUUCUUUUUAGAAGUCCGACCCUUUCAUUUUCUUACACUGUGCACACACUUCUUUUUUACACACACUUUUAACACAUUAGUAUAAGAAUGUAAUAGUCUCUUAAUUGAGCAUAAAUAAAAACAAAACUUUCAGCAACGGAUCUCUUGGCUCUCGCAUCGAUGAAGAACGCAGCGAAUUGCGAUAAGUAAUGUGAAUUGCAGAAUUCAGUGAAUCAUCGAAUCUUUGAACGCACCUUGCACUCUUUGGUAUUCCGAAGAGUAUGUCUGUUUGAGUGUCAUGAAACUCUCAACCCCCCUAUUUUGUAAUGAAAUGGGCGCGGGCUUGGAUUAUGGCUGUUUGUCGGCGUAAUUGCCGGCUCAGCUGAAAUACACGAGCAACCCUAUUGAAAUAGACGGUUUGACUUGGCGUAAUAAUUAU
rnacentral:rRNA from 1 species